rnacentral:rRNA from 1 species
CCUACGGGUGGCAGCAGUGGGGAAUAUUCCGCAAUGGGCGCAAGCCUGACGGAGCAAUGCCGCGUGAACGAAGAAGGUCUUCGGAUUGUAAAGUUCUGUCCUCAUCGAAGAGAGGGUAUAGAGUGAAAAAUGAUAUACUAGGACGGUAGAUGAGGAGGAAGCCCGGGCUAACUACGUGCCAGCAGCCGCGGUAAUACGUAGGGGGCGAGCGUUGUCCGGAACCACUGGGCGUAAAGGGCGCGUAGGCGGUAAUAGAAGUCAGAUGUGAAAGGUGGGGGCUCAACCCCGAGACGGCAACUGAUACUGUAUAGCUUGAGUGUGGGAGAGGGAGGCGGAAUUCCUGGUGUAGCGGUGAAAUGCGUAGAUAUCAGGAGGAACACCGGUGGCGAAGGCGGCUUUCUGGCUUAUAACUGACGCUGAGGCGCGAAAGCGUGGGGAGCAAACAGGAUUAGAUACCCUUGUAGUC